AACUUUCAACAACGGAUCUCUUGGUUCUCGCAUCGAUGAAGAACGCAGCGAAAUGCGAUAAGUAAUGUGAAUUGCAGAUUUUCGUGAAUCAUUGAAUCUUUGAACGCACAUUGCGCCCUCUGGUAUUCCGGAGGGCAUGCCUGUUUGAGCGUCAUUUCC
rnacentral:rRNA from 1 species